GAAUGGAUUAGCUCAGUGGCAAAGUACACACUUGGAAUGUAAAAGGUCCCAAGUUCAAUUCCUGCUCCCUUCA